rnacentral:rRNA from 1 species
ACGGGAGACACACGGCGGGUGCUAACGUCCGUCGUGAAGAGGGAAACAACCCAGACCGCCAGCUAAGGUCCCAAAGUCAUGGUUAAGUGGGAAACGAUGUGGGAAGGCCCAGACAGCCAGGAUGUUGGCUUAGAAGCAGCCAUCAUUUAAAGAAAGCGUAAUAGCUCACUGGUCGAGUCGGCCUGCGCGGAAGAUGUAACGGGGCUAAACC